CACGCCGUAAACGAUGAGUGCUAAGUGUUGGGGGGUUUCCGCCCCUCAGUGCUGCAGCUAACGCAUUAAGCACUCCGCCUGGGGAGUACGGUCGCAAGACUGAAACUCAAAGGAAUUGACGGGGGCCCGCACAAGCGGUGGAGCAUGUGGUUUAAUUCGAAGCAACGCGAAGAACCUUACCAGGUCUUGACAUCCCGGUGACCACUGUAGAGAUACAGUUUCCCCUUCGGGGGCAACGGUGACAGGUGG
rnacentral:rRNA from 1 species